GUCUGCAGCUGCGAUAGCUUGCGCUUCUGGAUAAUUGACGAGGGAGAAAAAAAAAGCGAGGACUGGAUUUCAGUGGGCCUAUGAGUUUGCAUACGUGUGCAGCUGGACGGUCAUAGCACAUGUCGGCGUUACCAAAAAAAAUAUCUCCCUUCGCUGGCACACAUCAUUACCACCGGUGUCUUAAUUAGAGACGGCUAGCUAUAUAACCAAAAACGCUUCGCGAGGUGUAGCCAUCGCUCAGCUGCUAGAGAAACAGUGAUCAAGAAAAAUGAAACGCCACGCAGCCUAUUGUGCAGCAGUCGGCUUAGCCUUUGCUGUCUUGCAUGCCGGUGUCUCUACACGCCAGGGAGAAGGACGCUUCCAUGUCUGCGAGGAGAAAACGGGAAUUAUGAAUAAUGCCAAAGCUACUGUGUUGGCGGCAAAAUUUUUGGAGAAGUGCUCUUUGCCACUUAUCGUGAAGUACAAUUUCAGCCCCAGGAUGAUACAUAUGGCAUCGAGAAAAUUGUGCGUCGUAUAUCGCUUCUGCCUUCACAAACACCAGCGCGUCCUUAAAGCAAGCGUAAGUAAACAACUGAUCAGAAACCGAACAUUA